rnacentral:lncRNA from 1 species
UAAAUUAUAUAAUAAAAUUAGCGUAAGUUACUGCAACGAUUUGGACUUUGUUUAAUCUGUAAAAUAACCCACCAUGCAAGGGCUCAAACAAUAUAUUACAUCCACAAGAGAAGCUUUUUUUACAAGAAAGUAGAGAAAAAUAUGACUAACCAAAAGAACAAAAAUGAAAAAGUUCACAAGCUACGUGAAUUCUACCACAUUAUUUGACAUGCCCUCAUUCUAAAAUACCCUUGCUACAUUUUGCAGAGUCCAAAUUAUUACUACUCUUUAAUUUCACCAAAGUUCUCAUUAGAAUCAAAGCCACCAGGGUAAAUUUUCUUACCCUUACUACUUUUACCAUCCUCUACUAAUUUUUUCACUGCGCCACCGUCGUUAUUAGUACUUCGAGCUUUUUCUUCUUCCACUCUCUUCGACUUCUCUUUUAGGCGUUUUUGCUGCAGGUAAAGAUGGGCAAAGUUUACUCCCAUGGAAGCCAUAUUUUGAAUUUUGUAGAAAUAAUUCUAAGUGUUUGAUGUGUGUUUGCUAAUUGCUUGAUGUUUGGGAAAACAAUAGAAGAGGCAAUUUAUAGAGGGGAUUUCUCGCCUUAAUUUGUAAGAAACCAAGGUACUAUUUCUUUUUCUUUUUUUUUAGGUGGCUAAUGGUGACCAUUAGGCUAUAAUAUUAUUUAAACAGGACGGUUUAAUUUACAAUACGGAUAAGGAAGUGGAGGGUUACAAUGUAUAAAGUGGUUAUCUUUUAAAGUUGGCUUAACCACUACUAGCAAAA